rnacentral:rRNA from 1 species
AUUGAACGCUGGCGGCAUGCCUUACACAUGCAAGUCGAACGGCAGCGGGGGAGAAGCUUGCUUUUCCUGCCGGCGAGUGGCGAACGGGUGAGUAAUACAUCGGAACGUGCCCUGUAGUGGGGGAUAACUAGUCGAAAGAUUAGCUAAUACCGCAUACGACCCGAGGGUGAAAGUGGGGGACCGCAAGGCCUCAUGCUAUAGGAGCGGCCGAUGUCUGAUUAGCUAGUCGGUGGGGUAAAGGCCUACCAAGGCGACGAUCAGUAGCUGGUCUGAGAGGACGAUCAGCCACACUGGGACUGAGACACGGCCCAGACUCCUACGGGAGGCAGCAGUGGGGAAUUUUGGACAAUGGGCGAAAGCCUGAUCCAGCAAUGCCGCGUGUGUGAAGAAGGCCUUCGGGUUGUAAAGCACUUUUGUCCGGAAAGAAAUGGCUCUGGUUAAUACCUGGGGUCGAUGACGGUACCGGAAGAAUAAGGACCGGCUAACUACGUGCCAGCCGCCGCGGUAA